GGAGGCAUGGCUCAUGUGGUAGAGCACUUGCCUAGAAAGUUAGAAUGUCUGAGUUCAAAUCCCAGUACUUUCA
rnacentral:tRNA from 1 species